UUACGGUCAUAUCCCGUUGACACACCGAUUUCCGUACGAUCUGCGAAGUUAAGCAACGUCUAGCCUGGUUAGUACCUAGAUGAGCGACAACUAUGGAAUACCAGAUGCUGCUAG